rnacentral:rRNA from 1 species
GGCGGCAGGCCUAACACAUGCAAGUCGAACGGUAACAGGAAUCAGCUUGCUGAUUCGCUGACGAGUGGCGGACGGGUGAGUAAUGUCUGGGAAACUGCCUGAUGGAGGGGGAUAACUACUGGAAACGGUAGCUAAUACCGCAUAACGUCGCAAGACCAAAGAGGGGGACCUUCGGGCCUCUUGCCAUCGGAUGUGCCCAGAUGGGAUUAGCUAGUAGGUGGGGUAAAGGCUCACCUAGGCGACGAUCCCUAGCUGGUCUGAGAGGAUGACCAGCCACACUGGAACUGAGACACGGUCCAGACUCCUACGGGAGGCAGCAGUGGGGAAUAUUGCACAAUGGGCGCAAGCCUGAUGCAGCCAUGCCGCGUGUAUGAAGAAGGCCUUCGGGUUGUAAAGUACUUUCAGCGGGGAGGAAGGGAGUAAAGUUAAUACCUUUGCUCAUUGACGUUACCCGCAGAAGAAGCACCGGCUAACUCCGUGCCAGCAGCCGCGGUAAUACGGAGGGUGCAAGCGUUAAUCGGAAUUACUGGGCGUAAAGCGCACGCAGGCGGUUUGUUAAGUCAGAUGUGAAAUCCCCGGGCUCAACCUGGGAACUGCAUCUGAUACUGGCAAGCUUGAGUCUCGUAGAGGGGGGUAGAAUUCCAGGUGUAGCGGUGAAAUGCGUAGAGAUCUGGAGGAAUACCGGUGGCGAAGGCGGCCCCCUGGACGAAGACUGACGCUCAGGUGCGAAAGCGUGGGGAGCAAACAGGAUUAGAUACCCCUGGUAGUCCACGCCGUAAACGAUGUCGACUUGGAGGUUGUGCCCUUGAGGCGUGGCUUCCGGAGCUAACGCGUUAAGUCGACCGCCUGGGGAGUACGGCCGCAAGGUUAGAACUCAAAUGAAUUGACGGGGGCCCGCACAAGCGGUGGAGCAUGUGGUUUAAUUCGAUGCAACGCGAAGAACCUUACCUGGUCUUGACAUCCACGGAAGUUUUCAGAGAUGAGAAUGUGCCUUCGGGAACCGUGAGACAGGUGCUGCAUGGCUGUCGUCAGCUCGUGUUGUGAAAUGUUGGGUUAAGUCCCGCAACGAGCGCAACCCUUAUCCUUUGUUGCCAGCGGUCCGGCCGGGAACUCAAAGGAGACUGCCAGUGAUAAACUGGAGGAAGGUGGGGGUGACGUCAAGUCAUCAUGGCCCUUACGACCAGGGCUACACACGUGCUACAAUGGCGCAUACAAAGAGAAGCGACCUCGCGAGAGCAAGCGGACCUCAUAAAGUGCGUCGUAGUCCGGAUUGGAGUCUGCAACUCGACUCCAUGAAGUCGGAAUCGCUAGUAAUCGUGGAUCAGAAUGCCACGGUGAAUACGUUCCCGGGCCUUGUACACACCGCCCGUCACACCAUGGGAGUGGGUUGCAAAAGAAGUAGGUAGCUUAACCUUCGGGAGGGCGCUUACCACUUUGUGAUUCAUGACUGGGGUGAAGUCAUA